rnacentral:lncRNA from 1 species
CACCCUUCAUUCAUGAAACUUUUUGGGUUAGAAGGGGGGGAAACCUAGAUCUACGAAAGAGGAUAGAGGAGCUCCUCCCUUUUUCUAGCCUUUUUUUUUUCUAAAAAGGAACCGGAAGUGGCGAGAGGGCGCGUCCGGUCUCUUCCCGACUCUGUGGUCUCCGGGGAAGGCGCUUGCAAGGGGGUCUCCUCGGGAGUUUCCGGCAUCAGGACCUGCAAGGAGGUAACUGGAACCAGAAUUCUAUGUGGCCAGUUCUUCUGUCACCAGAAAAUAACCAUAUGGGAAGAAGGAAAAAGAAGGAAGGAGAUACUGAAAAGGUGAAAAAAGGCAGAAGGGAAGAGAUAAAACAAGAGGGAAACGAAAAUUUCUAGCUUCUCCUGAGUCUGAGGCUUAACAUCU